GUUAACUACCUGAACAGGUCUGUCUGUUAACUACCUGAACAGGUCUGUCUGUUAACUACCUGAACAGGUCUGUCUGUUAACUACCUGAACAGGUCUGUCUGUUAACUACCUGAACAGGUCUGUCUGUUAACUACCUGAACAGGUCUGUCUGUUAACUACCUGAACAGGUCUGUCUGUUAACUACCUGAACAGGUCUGUCUGUUAACUACCUGAACAGGUCUGUCUGUUAACUACCUG